ACGCUGGCGGCAGGCCUAACACAUGCAAGUCGAGCGGAAACGACAACAUUGACCCUUCGGGUGAUUUGUUGGGCGUCGAGCGGCGGACGGGUGAGUAAUGCCUGGGAAAUUGCCCUGAUGUGGGGGAUAACCAUUGGAAACGAUGGCUAAUACCGCAUAACGUCUACGGACCAAAGAGGGGGACCUUCGGGCCUCUCGCUUCAGGAUAUGCCCAGGUGGGAUUAGCUAGUUGGUGAGGUAAUGGCUCACCAAGGCGACGAUCCCUAGCUGGUCUGAGAGGAUGAUCAGCCACACUGGAACUGAGACACGGUCCAGACUCCUACGGGAGGCAGCAGUGGGGAAUAUUGCACAAUGGGCGCAAGCCUGAUGCAGCCAUGCCGCGUGUAUGAAGAAGGCCUUCGGGUUGUAAAGUACUUUCAGCAGUGAGGAAGGUUCAUGCGUUAAUAGCGYAUGGAUUUGACGUUAGCUGCAGAAGAAGCACCGGCUAACUCCGUGCCAGCAGCCGCGGUAAUACGGAGGGUGCGAGCGUUAAUCGGAAUUACUGGGCGUAAAGCGCAUGCAGGUGGUUUGUUAAGUCAGAUGUGAAAGCCCGGGGCUCAACCUCGGAACCGCAUUUGAAACUGGCAGGCUAGAGUACUGUAGAGGGGGGUAGAAUUUCAGGUGUAGCGGUGAAAUGCGUAGAGAUCUGAAGGAAUACCAGUGGCGAAUGCGACCCCCUCGACA
rnacentral:rRNA from 1 species